UACGGAGGGUGCAAGCGUUAUCCGGAUUCACUGGGUUUAAGGGGUGCGUAGGUGGGCAGGUAAGUCAGUGGUGAAAUCUCCGGGCUUAACUCGGAAACUGCCAUUGAUACUAUCUGUCUUGAAUACCGUGGAGGUCAGCGGAAUAUGUCAUGUAGCGGUGAAAUGCUUAGAUAUGACAUAGAACACCAAUUGCGAAGGCAGCUGGCUACACGAAUAUUGACACUGAUGCACGAAAGCGUGGGGAUCAAACAGG
rnacentral:rRNA from 1 species